CAGCCGCCGCGGUAAUACCGGCGGCCCGAGUGGUGGCCGCUAUUAUUGGGCCUAAAGCGUCCGUAGCCGGGCUGGUAAGUCCUCCGGGAAAUCUGGUCGCUUAACGAUCAGACUUCCGGAGGAUACUGCUGGCCUAGGGACCGGGAGAGGCCGAGGGUAUUCCCGGGGUAGGGGUGAAAUCCUGUAAUCCCGGGAGGACCACCUGUGGCGAAGGCGCUCGGCUGGAACGGGUCCGACGGUGAGGGACGAAGGCCAGGGGAGCGAACCGGAUUAGAUACCCGGGUAGUCCUGGCGGUAAACGAUGCGGACUAGGUGUCGGGCAAGCUAAGGGCUUGUCCGGUGCCGCAGGGAAGCCGUUAAGUCCGCCGCCUGGGGAGUACGGCCGCAAGGCUGAAACUUAAAGGAAUUGGCGGG
rnacentral:rRNA from 1 species